AUCGAGCACAUAGAACAUAGAGUUCCGUAUACCCACAGCACCCUCUGCACCUUAUUACCAGCUGUAGUCCAUGGUCUACAUUGAGGUUCACUCUGUGUUAUGCCGUUCUGUGGAUUUUGACAAAUGCGAUCACCAAUCGAUACAAUCAUCUCCUAUCCUGAGGAGGAAGGAUAUCUGUCGCUCAUAAAUACAAGUUUAUAUUUAACAGUAAACAGGAGUUGAUGUUGAAAGGAUUGAGGGUUUGUGAACAAAUAUCUGAUGCAAAAUGAGGAUACUUGGGGAAUCUUGACAAAGUCAAUAUGGGCCACAGGACAAACUCAUAUACAUCG